CAGAGAGCUUGCUCUCGGGUGACGAGCGGCGGACGGGUGAGUAAUGUCUGGGAAACUGCCUGAUGGAGGGGGAUAACUACUGGAAACGGUAGCUAAUACCGCAUAACGUCGCAAGACCAAAGUGGGGGACCUUCGGGCCUCAUGCCAUCAGAUGUGCCCAGAUGGGAUUAGCUAGUAGGUGGGGUAAUGGCUCACCUAGGCGACGAUCCCUAGCUGGUCUGAGAGGAUGACCAGCCACACUGGAACUGAGACACGGUCCAGACUCCUACGGGAGGCAGCAGUGGGGAAUAUUGCACAAUGGGCGCAAGCCUGAUGCAGCCAUGCCGCGUGUGUGAAGAAGGCCUUCGGGUUGUAAAGCACUUUCAGCGGGGAGGAAGGCGUUAAGGUUAAUAACCUUGUCGAUUGACGUUACCCGCAGAAGAAGCACCGGCUAACUCCGUGCCAGCAGCCGCGGUAAUACGGAGGGUGCAAGCGUUAAUCGGAAUUACUGGGCGUAAAGCGCACGCAGGCGGUCUGUCAAGUCGGAUGUGAAAUCCCCGGGCUCAACCUGGGAACUGCAUUCGAAACUGGCAGGCUAGAGUCUUGUAGAGGGGGGUAGAAUUCCAGGUGUAGCGGUGAAAUGCGUAGAGAUCUGGAGGAAUACCGGUGGCGAAGGCGGCCCCCUGGACAAAGACUGACGCUCAGGUGCGAAAGCGUGGGGAGCAAACAGGAUUAGAUACCCUGGUAGUCCACGCCGUAAACGAUGUCGAUUUGGAGGUUGUGCCCUUGAGGCGUGGCUUCCGGAGCUAACGCGUUAAAUCGACCGCCUGGGGAGUACGGCCGCAAGGUUAAAACUCAAAUGAAUUGACGGGGGCCCGCACAAGCGGUGGAGCAUGUGGUUUAAUUCGAUGCAACGCGAAGAACCUUACCUGGUCUUGACAUCCACAGAACUUUCCAGAGAUGGAUUGGUGCCUUCGGGAACUGUGAGACAGGUGCUGCAUGGCUGUCGUCAGCUCGUGUUGUGAAAUGUUGGGUUAAGUCCCGCAACGAGCGCAACCCUUAUCCUUUGUUGCCAGCGGUUAGGCCGGGAACUCAAAGGAGACUGCCAGUGAUAAACUGGAGGAAGGUGGGGAUGACGUCAAGUCAUCAUGGCCCUUACGACCAGGGCUACACACGUGCUACAAUGGCAUAUACAAAGAGAAGCGACCUCGCGAGAGCAAGCGGACCUCAUAAAGUAUGUCGUAGUCCGGAUUGGAGUCUGCAACUCGACUCCAUGAAGUCGGAAUCGCUAGUAAUCGUAGAUCAGAAUGCUACGGUGAAUACGUUCCCGGGCCUUGUACACACCGCCCGUCACACCAUGGGAGUGGGUUGCAAAAGAAGUAGGUAGCUU
rnacentral:rRNA from 1 species